rnacentral:rRNA from 1 species
AACGAACGCUGGCGGCAUGCCUAACACAUGCAAGUCGAACGAAGCCUUCGGGCUUAGUGGCGCACGGGUGCGUAACGCGUGGGAAUCUGCCCUCAGGUACGGAAUAACUCAGGGAAACUUGAGCUAAUACCGUAUAAUGACUUCGGUCCAAAGAUUUAUCGCCUGAGGAUAAGCCCGCGUCGGAUUAGCUAGUUGGUGAGGUAAAAGCUCACCAAGGCGACGAUCCGUAGCNGGUCUGAGAGGAUGAUCAGCCACACUGGGACUGAGACACGGCCCAGACUCCUACGGGAGGCAGCAGUGGGGAAUAUUGGACAAUGGGCGAAAGCCUGAUCCAGCAAUGCCGCGUGAGUGAUGAAGGCCUUAGGGUUGUAAAGCUCUUUUACCCGGGAUGAUAAUGACAGUACCGGGAGAAUAAGCCCC